rnacentral:miRNA from 1 species
AGUGCUGCCUGACUUCAUGCCU